rnacentral:sRNA from 1 species
AAGGGGUUCCCUCACAGGACAUCAAGGCCGCAAAAAGGCCGACCACUCAGCCAGCAGGGAAUAUAGAUAAAACUAAACAACACAAUACAAAAGAGCAACCCUUUGGGGAGCCGUAAUCAGUCAAAUCAGCGUGGAUGAUACGGAUGCUUCUGCCUGGUUGCUCCGUUGCGACUUCCUCUUCUGUGGCAGCUUUGUCGCGCACGAGGCCGGCGACUACUAACUAGGCUUUCUGGGUUCUGGCGUAAAACCUCAAAACUACAAGACGCAAAUGUUUAGCAGUAGCAUCGAUAAAGGGGCCAAAAAAAAAAAAAGGGUCCAUCGAAAAGCUAGGCAUGUAAUAUAGAAAGAUUCAUAUCUGUAUGGAUGCACAUACUCCUAUCUCGCGAUUUGCACCAGUAAUUGAUGCAUAGUCACCAGUAAGGCAAUAUGUGUGUGGGCAAAGUCCAAGGCUUUUGUUGGUUUUUCCAUCAUUCUGGUUCUGUUUCUUCAUUGAUUCAUCCUGUCUUUUCAUAUUUUCC